CAAUGACAGACACACAGAGUUAAAACAUCCCCACAAUGCAUCCUAACUUCCCUCCCUCUGUCCUGGAGAUAAUUGGGAAGUAAUCCAAUUAUCUCCCAGGACAGAGGCAAAACUCCAUUAACCACAUAGCAGUAAAAGACAGUAAAAGACAUAAAAAUGUAUAAAGUUACAACUGUUGCACAAAACAUAUACAUUCUACCUAUCCCCAGAUAGCUUAGAUCUGAGCGCACAAAAGUAUCAAAUAGCGCUCAGAUCCUAUGCACACAGUCCAAUCGCUGAGGAGUUAAAGUGUUCACAAAGUCUCUUCUCCAUACGAAUAGACUCCACGGGAUGGCUAUCUGGGGUAAUGCUGUUCAUACGGUUUAAACUACCGAAUGAACAGGCAUCCGGUUAAAUGACCGAAUGCAGAAGCAAGGAGGCUGAUGGCUCAGCGGUGUUCGCACAAAUAAGUGUCCGUUUUCAGUUCCAUGAGUUGGGCGUCGAACACCACUGUGCGUUUGCGUGUUUAAAAUGGCCGCGACCUCGUGUUCGGUAUACGAAUGGCGGCCACCCAGCAUUCGUCAAUUAAGCUGCGGUUAACCGACGCUUCUGGGAGGUUAAUUGCCGACACACUCCAGCUGCCAGGUGGUCCAGUCAUUUGUGCAUUAGUUCGGUAGAUUGAAUCUACCAACCGCCGGGCAGAAAGGCACGAAUAAGCCUUUUCUGCAGGGGAAAAGAAGGCUUUUAACAUGGGGCCAUAAUCCAAAGGCAACAGGUGAGCAACCAGGCUUCUCCAAUGCAAUGUGGCGAGAUUGGUCUGGUCACAGUUAUAUUAAUGGGGAGCAGUGGGGGAUGGUUAUAUUAGUGGGGGGUGAUUAUUUUAGUUGGGAGCAGGGGGGAUGGUUAUAUUAAUAGGGAGCAGUGGAGGGAUGGUUAUAUUAAUGGGAGCAGGGGGAUGGUUAUAUUAAUGAGCAGUGGGGAUGGUUAUAUUAAUGGGGAGCAGGGGGAUGGUUAUAUUAAUGGGGAGCAGUGGGGGGUUAUUAAUGGGGAGCAGGGAUGUAUAUAUUAGUUGGGAGCAGUGGGGAUGGUUAUAUUAAUGGGGAGCAGGGGGAUGGCUUAUAUUAAUGGGGAGCAGGGGGGAUGGUUAUAUUAAUG